GACUGGCGGGUGCCUAUACAUGCAAGUCGAGCGGACAGAAGGGAGCUUGCUCCCGGAUGUUAGCGGCGGACGGGUGAGUAACACGUGGGUAACCUGCCUGUAAGACUGGGAUAACUCCGGGAAACCGGAGCUAAUACCGGAUAGUUCCUUGAACCGCAUGGUUCAAGGAUGAAAGACGGUUUCGGCUGUCACUUACAGAUGGACCCGCGGCGCAUUAGCUAGUUGGUGAGGUAACGGCUCACCAAGGCGACGAUGCGUAGCCGACCUGAGAGGGUGAUCGGCCACACUGGGACUGAGACACGGCCCAGACUCCUACGGGAGGCAGCAGUAGGGAAUCUUCCGCAAUGGACGAAAGUCUGACGGAGCAACGCCGCGUGAGUGAUGAAGGUUUUCGGAUCGUAAAGCUCUGUUGUUAGGGAAGAACAAGUGCAAGAGUAACUGCUUGCACCUUGACGGUACCUAACCAGAAAGCCACGGCUAACUACGUGCCAGCAGCCGCGGUAAUACGUAGGUGGCAAGCGUUGUCCGGAAUUAUUGGGCGUAAAGGGCUCGCAGGCGGUUUCUUAAGUCUGAUGUGAAAGCCCCCGGCUCAACCGGGGAGGGUCAUUGGAAACUGGGAAACUUGAGUGCAGAAGAGGAGAGUGGAAUUCCACGUGUAGCGGUGAAAUGCGUAGAGAUGUGGAGGAACACCAGUGGCGAAGGCGACUCUCUGGUCUGUAACUGACGCUGAGGAGCGAAAGCGUGGGGAGCGAACAGGAUUAGAUACCCUGGUAGUCCACGCCGUAAACGAUGAGUGCUAAGUGUUAGGGGGUUUCCGCCCCUUAGUGCUGCAGCUAACGCAUUAAGCACUCCGCCUGGGGAGUACGGUCGCAAGACUGAAACUCAAGGAAUUGACGGGGGCCCGCACAAGCGGUGGAGCAUGUGGUUUAAUUCGAAGCAACGCGGAAGAACCUUACCAGGUCUUGACAUCCUCUGACAACCCUAGAGAUAGGGCUUUCCCUUUCGGGGGACAGAGUGACAGGUGGUGCAUGGCGUCGUCAGCUCGUGUUCGUGAGAUGUUGGGUUAAGUCCCGCACGAGCGCAACCUUUGAUCUUAGUUGCCAGCAUUCAGUUGGGCACUCCUA
rnacentral:rRNA from 1 species